rnacentral:rRNA from 1 species
CAAGGAAGGCAGCAGGCGCGCAAAUUACCCACUCCCGGCACGGGGAGGUAGUGACGAAAAAUAACGAUACGGGACUCAUCCGAGGCCCCGUAAUCGGAAUGAGUACACUUUAAAUCCUUUAACGAGGAUCAAUUGGAGGGCAAGUCUGGUGCCAGCAGCCGCGGUAAUUCCAGCUCCAAUAGCGUAUAUUAAAGUUGUUGCGGUUAAAAAGCUCGUAGUCGAAUCUGUGUCGUGCGCCGCCGGUUCAUCGCUCGCGGUGUCAACUGGCGUGUCGCAGGACGUCCUGCCGGUGGACUUAGCCGCGUCGUCGUCUCGCGCGGCGUCGUGGCGGUCCAACUUUAACAAUCCCACCGCGGUGCUCUUCGCUGAGUGUCGAGGUGGGCCGGCACGUUUACUUUGAACAAAUUAGAGUGCUUAAAGCAGGCUAAAAUUUCGCCUGAAUACUGUGUGCAUGGAAUAAUGGAAUAGGACCUCGGUUCUAUUUUGUUAGUUUUCGGAACCCCGAGGUAAUGAUUAAUAGGAACGGAUGGGGGCAUUCGUAUUGCGACGUUAGAGGUGAAAUUCUUGGAUCGUCGCAAGACGGACUUAAGCGAAAGCAUUUGCCAAAAACGUUUUCAUUGAUCAAGAACGAAAGUUAGAGGUUCGAAGGCGAUCAGAUACCGCCCUAGUUCUAACCAUAAACGAUGCCAGCUAGCGAUCCGCCGACGUUCCUCCGAUGACUCGGCGGGCAGCUUCCGGGAAACCAAAGCUUUUGGGUUCCGGGGGAAGU